CAUCUCUCAUUCUCUUCUGUCUCUCAUUCGCUUCUGUCUUGUAUGAAAUUCAUAGGUUUCAGAGAUCUCAAAUUUCAUAUCAAGCCGACCUAUUUAUUUUUCGCUUUAGGGUUUCGAGGUUUACAUACGAAAGUUGUUUUAGGGUUCAGUCUCUCUUAUGUCGUCUCCAAAAACUCUCAAGAGCAGCAAUACAGAGAAGAAGAAAGGCCCUAAACUUCUCAUUUCCUUGGUUUGUGAUUUGAGAGAUCGUGAAGAGGAAUGACGCUUUCCUCGUCAAAGAGUUUGGAAAUAGAAAUCAAAUGGUUCAGUUCAGAAAGAACCUAAUAAUCUAUACAACGUUAACACCUUCAAACACUUUGGGUUAGCUACUGCAAAGUCUAUUUCAGUUCAAGCUGGAAAAGAUUCAGGUGUUGUUCUGGCUACUAUCAAGACUAACAAACAGAAGUACCAUUCAGCUUUGGUGCACAAAAAUGUCAUGGAACUAGGAAACAUACCUCUUCUUGUUGUAUACUAAAAUUCAGGAAAAUCUGUCUGAAAGAGUAUUAGAGCUUCUUGCGUUGCCCGGGGAUGAUGUUCCGCGGGUGCUCCUUGAUAUUGGAUGUGGCUCUAGACUAAGCGGAGAAACAUCAUCUGAGAGUGGACACCAAUGGAUUGGUUUACACAUAUCUGAUUCAAUGCUAGUGAAACAAUGUUGCGCUGGAGCGGGAAGUAGAUGGUGAUCUUUUGCUAAGCGAUAUGGGUCAGGACUUGGGUUUCAUGGAUGGAGUUAUUAAUGGUGCUAUUAGCAUCUCAGCGGUGCAGUGGCUUUUCUAUGCGGACAGUUCCUCUCAUAAUCCAAGACUGAGAUUGAAGGCAUUCUUUGGAUCACUAUAUCGGUGUUUACCCUGAAGUGAUCCUCUUCGAACACCAAGUACAUAGCCUAUACCUCCUCCGAUGCUAAAUAUGUAGGAGGUGAUUCGCGUAUUGCGGCUGCUUCACCGGUGUAUAUAAAUCUUUUCGUACUUUCAUAUACUGGACGCUGGGAAUUCGUCUCGUAUUGCCCUUCAAUUGGUUAAGGUUCUUCUUGACCAGUUCUUUAUUUUCCUUAUAUGACGACUGGUAACUCAUGUUGCCCUUGCAAUUGAAGUUCCCCGGGGUUAGCUUAACAAGAAGGAUGCCAUGGCUGCUACUGUACUUCAGUUUUUAAUGGGAGGAGGUGGAUCCUUUUCAGCUGGUGGCCCGGGAAAGGGAUGCACUCACGGUUUAUUUAUUAAUGAUGGCAUUAUCAGUCUGUUGUCGUUUAUUUAUUAAUGAUGGCCAAUUUUUUUACAUGGAUUCUGAUGUAACUAGUUCUGAAUAGAGUAUCACCAGAUUCAGUCAUUUUCUGCAUUCAGCAGCAUCUACACUUGACACUGACCUAUUUAGAGUUCAUGCAUCUACUGUGAGCGUUGUACCAUUUAUGACUCUACUACAUAUUUUAGCAUAACCAAAAGGAAGUUUUUCAGACACGGUUGUAUAAUCCAAUGACUAUUUAAAUAUUCUAUAAUCUUUCCACUAACAAAACAUUAUUAAUUUCUAGUCCAAGGUAUCAAACGUAGAAAGAUGCAUCGGCAAAAAACUUCUCAGAACAUGGGACAUACUUGCUGAGAGGUGUCUAUUACAACAAUAUGAAAUGGCAAGCAGCAAUCAAGGUGGACAAGAAACAAAUCCACAUCCCAUUUGUAUGACAGGAAUAUAGGGAGUGUCAGCUCUGCAUCCCUGCACCACUGUCUACUAGGGUUGGCGUAUUACGACCUGCUGAACUUAAUGAACUUUUUUCAACUCCACCAGAAAGUCCUUGGAGUAAAGCUCCACAUAAGGAAUCUGCAGAGAAGACUGCAUUAGGAGAGUAAUCCUUUGAUGGAUUCUUGGCACAGUGGACCCUUAUGACAUUGUUAGAUCCGGUUAAAAGUGUAGCCAAUUUGGUUUACAUCGGAUACCAAGGAAACAUUUCCUUUGUCCUGCAUAUAACCAGACGAAUAAGGUUAGAUCGCAAGAAGCAACAAUCAGAUAGAAAUGUUUUCCAGUACUUCAUCUUUGGACCUAAAAGGUGUUGGGAAGUCAUCAUUUAUCAACUCUUUACUCGGAAGGUAUGGUACUUGUUGAAGUUAUUGAUAAAAUAAACUUGCAGAGUGAUGUCAAACCUUAUAGAAUCAUACUGAAUAAGAUCCUUAUGUUAUGAAUAAGAUCUUUUGAUACCACACAAAAUUUGUAUGUCCUUAGAACUUUUGUAACGUGGUUCUUAAUUUUUGUGUAUAUGGAGUUGAUCAUUGAAUGACAUGGUGGAUUAA